GCGAUCCACCACUGUCUCAAUCUCUUAUCCAUCGCGGCCUCGUCAUCUUCUUCACAGCGCCACAACUCCUCCGCGGCUUCGUCAUCUUCAAUUCAAACUCAGUGUUUCCGUCAACAUCUCAAAUUUCAUGCUCCCGCUGCUACAAUGAACUCCGUUCAUCAUCUCAAUUUGUUCGUCUUCUUUCGAUGCUCAUCUCUGAUUCGCUCAACUUCCACCGUGAAUUCGCAUUUGAUUCAACUUCAACAUUGCAACCUCACUCUCGUCCCUCUCAUUGAAGCAUUGGAACUUCAAUCGUCUGUCAUACGCGCUCGACUUCUUUGGCUUUGGAUUCACCGUUUUCUCCACGAAUUCGUUCCUUUAGGCAUCGUUGUAUCAAGUCUGUUUCAAAACUAA